rnacentral:rRNA from 1 species
GCAUAUCAAUAAGCGGAGGAAAAGAAAAUAACAAUGAUUCCCCUAGUAACUGCGAGUGAAGAGGGACAAGCUCAAAUUUUAAAUCUGUCGGGUUCUACCUGACCGAGUUGUAAUUUGAAGAGGCGUUUUCUGUGUUUCUGAUCAGUCCAAGUCCUUUGGGAUAAGGCAUCACGGAGGGUGAGAAUCCCGUUCGGUUGAUCAGAUUCGCUUUACGAUACGUCAUCAAAGAGUCAAGUUGUUUGGGAUUGCAGCUUAAAAUGGGAGGUAAAUUUCUCCUAAGGCUAAAUAACGGCGAGAGACCGAUAGCGAACAAGUACCGUGAGGGAAAGAUGAAAAGAACUUUGAAAAGAGAGUUAAAUAGUACGUGAAAUUGUUGAAGGGGAAACGGUUGAAGCCAGUCGUACCUGCGGGUAAUCAGCCUUUUGGGCAUGAUUCUGUGGAGCGUGAGGAGUUAAACGCCUUCAUGCCUGCAUAUUCGUGCUCUUGGGUGUACUUGCUCGUGUGGUUGGUUAACAUCAAUUUCGGAUAUCAUAAAAUGGCUGGAGGAAUGUAGCUUCGAUUUCGAUUGAAGUGUUAUAGCCUUCGGCAGAUGUGAUGAUCGGGAUUGAGGAUUGCAACGGAUACCCUUCGGGGCUACCAGUCUGAUCUCUGAUCGUUGCUUUGGUGCCGAAAGCGUGCUUACGGUUAUCAAAGUCGAUGGUUAAUAGGUUAGAACGGGUUAAAUUCGUUAAGGAUGUUGACGUA